GAUGAACGCUGGCGGCGUGCCUAAUACAUGCAAGUCGAGCGAACAGACGAGGAGCUUGCUCCUCUGACGUUAGCGGCGGACGGGUGAGUAACACGUGGAUAACCUACCUAUAAGACUGGGAUAACUUCGGGAAACCGGAGCUAAUACCGGAUAAUAUUUUGAACCGCAUGGUUCAAUAGUGAAAGACGGUUUUGCUGUCACUUAUAGAUGGAUCCGCGCUGCAUUAGCUAGUUGGUAAGGUAACGGCUUACCAAGGCAACGAUGCGUAGCCGACCUGAGAGGGUGAUCGGCCACACUGGAACUGAGACACGGUCCAGACUCCUACGGGAGGCAGCAGUAGGGAAUCUUCCGCAAUGGGCGAAAGCCUGACGGAGCAACGCCGCGUGAGUGAUGAAGGUCUUCGGAUCGUAAAACUCUGUUAUUAGGGAAGAACAAAUGUGUAAGUAACUAUGCACAUCUUGACGGUACCUAAUCAGAAAGCCACGGCUAACUACGUG
rnacentral:rRNA from 1 species